rnacentral:lncRNA from 1 species
AUUCAGGCCUCCGCCAGCUUCUAGGCCCUGGGGAUGGUCUUUCACCUCCCUCUUUCUGAUCUCUUUUUCAUGCUCCUCCUUGCUCCAAAGAAAAGCCGGAUGGCAAAAGAGCCCAGAACCUAUUGGAACUGACAAAAUCAAGUCACGGCGCCUACAAAGAUGAGGGGCAGAUUCUGGCUGCCUUUUAAUUUCGUCCUUCACCUGAUAUCUGUGCCAGAGAAUGAUAAAAAUCAUAAUAAAGGAAAUAAUGGAAGAGGAGACUUAUGUUACUGGGGACAUCUAACAUAAUUAUUUUCCUGAUUCAGUGGCAUGGUUCAGUCUUCCAGGAGUUCUGCUACAGAGAAGAGAGUAACCCCCAUCCAUCAUGGCCAAAGCACCCAGUCAGGCUCCGCUCUGGAUCCAGCCCGACAAAUGCAACCCUUGAAUAGGGUUUGUGCAAGCAAACUGGAUGACGACCGAAGAAACCCUGUCGCUUCUGAGAAGACACCCAAUCCAAGAAUGAAAGCAUCAGGUUCAAUACCUAGGAACUCCUGUAGAGGGUGUUGUGGAAUCUUCUUUAAAAGAACAAAACAAGGCAAAACAAAGUUUAAUAGGGUAGAGCAGCCAGGUGUGGUGGGUCAUGCCUGUAAUCUCAGCAAUUUGGGAGGCCAAGGCAGGAUCUCAGCAAUUUGGGAGGCGAAGGCAGGCAGAUCACUUGAGCCUAGGAGUUCAAGACCAGCUUGGGCAACAUAGCAAGACCCUGCCUAUACCAAAAAAAAAAAGUGAACCUAGGAGUAUGAGGCUGCAGUAAGCUGUGGUUGUACCAGUGCACUUUGGGAGGCCAAGGUAGGCGGGUCUUCUGAGAUCGAGAGUUUGAGACCAGCCUGACCAACAUGGAGAAACCCCGUCUCUACUAAAAGUACAAAAUUAGCCGGCAUGGUGGUGCAUGCCUGUAAUCCCAGCUACUCGGGAGGCUGAGGCGGGAGAAUUGCUUGAACUCAGGAGGCAGAGGUUGUGGUGAGCCAAGAUCGCGCCAUUGCACUCCAGCCUGGACAACAAGAGCGAAACUCCAUCACAAACAAACAAACAAUAAACAAAAACCAUAGAGUGAUUUCUGGCCAACAGAGCAAGAAAGAAGUGAACCAAUGAAAACCGGUCCAAGUCUGGGAGUCAAUAUGGAAAAGCUGCCUAAUUAAUGUGGAAGCCCCAGGGAAAUGAUAUACCAUGAAAACCUAACACUACAAAAACUAGUUGUCAGACACAUGUGAGCAGUGAACAGAAUCCUAAUAUGCUGGUUUAACAUUCAAAACUGGAGAGUGUUUGUGUAUCUUCUAAAGACUGUUUGGGGUUUAUUUGUGGAGUUCAGCUGAGUGUCAUCAGAACAAAGAUUAGUGCAAAAAAUCUUUCAGAAAUCAUGCCCAAACAUUUGCAUGCACCUUAAAUAAGAAAUGAAAUAGCAAGAAGAGUAUGUCACAAUAAAGUAUAAAUAGCAAGUGAUAUGUCUCAUCGUACUGAGACAGUUUUAUAAAUGAGGCAAAGGCCUUGUCAAAAAAUAAUGAUGAUUUUCAAAAUUCUGAAACGCAAAGGAGGAAAACUACUUCAUUCAGUUAACAGGAAGCACACAAGAAUCUCCCCAUCAACCAAGAUUUUUUUUUUCUAUAACCCACGCUUUGUAAGACAAUAAUAGCAAAAACUAUAAACUAGAAUUUGUUGAAAGAACAACUUCUAGAAUUUGCCCUUUAUGUGCUGUUUUACCAUUGUCAUGUCUGUCUCUGGUAUGACUUCCUCAUCUAUUAGUAGCCUCCUAAUAAAUUUGAACAAAUGAAUGAAUG